rnacentral:lncRNA from 1 species
GUCAAUAUGUUGGUCACAACGGAGGGUAUCUUGAAGAGUUCAAGGGGCUCUAUUCUUGCUAUGAAGUGGACUUCUUCUUUCAAGAGAAAAUUUGUUAGAAGGAAAAAGGCUAAAUCUGUAAAAAAGCAGAAGAAAGAGAGCAAGCCGAAGAAGGAUGGUCCAAAGGUAACUGAGGUAAAGAAAAAGUGUUUUCACUGUCAUGUUGAAGGCCACUGGAGGAGAACUGUCUAAAACACAUAGAGAGCCUAAAGACCAAAAAGGAUGAUAAAUCUUCCGAAGGUAUGCUCGUAAUUGAAUCUAACCUUAUGGUUUCUUCUACUUUUAGUUGGAUAUUAGACUCUGGCUCGAGUACUCA